rnacentral:rRNA from 1 species
GGAUUAGAUACCCUGGUAGUCCACGCCGUAAACGAUGAGAACUAGCUGUUAGAAUAUUAAUUUUAGUAGCGUAGCUAACGCAAUAAGUUCUCCGCCUGGGGAGUACGGCCGCAAGGCUAAAACUCAAAGGAAUUGACGGGGGCCCGCACAAGCGGUGGAGCAUGUGGUUUAAUUCGAUGCAACGCGAAAAACCUUACCUACCCUUGACAUCAUCAAAAUCCUAUAGAGAUAUGGGAGUGCCUUAGGGAAUUGGUAGACAGGUGCUGCAUGGCUGUCGUCAGCUCGUGCCG